rnacentral:misc_RNA from 1 species
ACCUUUCAAAUCAGGGUGCGGCGCGGCCCCCGAGGAGCGGAAACAAUCCUUGGGAGGUAUGCGGGGGCUUCGAGCCCCCCAUUUACGCACGCACGACUGCCAUCCUUACUUUACGAGCACCUUCUGUUCUCCCUCGGCGGGGCAACCUGCCGUUGGAACCGAAUAACUCUUUUUGCAUCUAGCAUUACCUGUUCCGAAACAAACAAUCGUUA